CUGUCAUCGACCUCUGAGCUGCACCACAGCUGGCUCUACUGGAUGUAAACAUGAGUGGGCCAGAAGCAGGACAGUGUAGGGCUGUCUAGCUUCCUCACCAUUACUAAGUCAGCCUGCAGGAAAAGAAGAAAGCAAUAAUUCUGAGUGGAGUGGCAGAGGGGCUGCCCAUAAGCAGGGGGAGCAGCAGGCUGGACAGCUCCCCAACUGAAAACCAAGAAUUGUAAGGAGGGUGCAAUAUUGGGUGGAACAAGGAGGAUCUAGGUUGUUAGCACCCAAUGGUGAGCCAAUAGUGGACAGAGUCAAGGUGGAGAUUGAGGUGGUUAGAGGGGACAUAGGGAAAACAUCAGGAGACCUAUAAUCUUGAGAGAAUUAAGCUUUAUAUUGCCAGGAGAGUCUGUAUGAUGAGAUUGGUCCUGACGUCUGGAUGAAGAGGCAAGGACCCUCCAGCCUUACUCUGAGAUAAAGGUGUGGAUUGAGACUCUGGGGGCUUUCUAUUUAUUGGUAGGUCCCUACUCCCCCUUUACUCUGGGACUAAUGAUGGCACAACAAGUCUGCUGUGUUGUUCAAGGGAAGAUUAAUGUCCCAGUGGACCACUGCUGCCAGAUGCACACAUAUUUUGCAUUCAUUCCUCCUGCUGUGAACUGUCAAAAGGGUUUGGAAAUCUUCAACUGGAUAUGAUUUUGGCUACUCACUCCAAGUACUCAAGUUGUGACAUUUUGCAGGUCGUCUCCGGUUCUAAGGCACCCCAAUAAAGAGCCAUGGAAAAGAACAGAGAGUUCAGUUCCGAAUGCAAGAACGUGAUCUUUCUGGGGCUCUAGUGGAAACAUAUGAGCAACACCUGGAUAUAUCAUGUGAAGGCUAGGAUGCAAGUCUAAUGAAGUCAUCUCAUCAUUGGAACAAUGCGAAAUAAAAAUUAUGGGGAAAGUAGCAGUAGAGGAAAGUAUUUGGAGUUCUACUGAGCCCUCUUCAGCCUCUCUAAAUUUCUUUGGCUAUGCAAAAAAGGGAAAGGAGCAAAGGUCAAAAAUAAUGGUCUGCUCUACACAUGAAGUUACACAAGACAAAACAAGUUACCUUAGUAGGCAACUUCAUCAUGAAGAACUGAGACAAGUCCUUAUUAACUAGUGGUAGUUAUGUUAGGCAGCUGGGAUCAUGCUUCCUCUUUCUUGGCAAUAUGCAAAACUCCACUCCUCAGCCUUUUACAACUCCCAUCUCCCUUCCCAUCUCCCUCCAUCUCCCUCCCAUCUCCCUUCCUAUCUCCUACCCAUCUCUCUCCCAUUUCCCUUCCCAAAUCUUCUUCACUGCUUGAUUUGCUCUCUUCCCUUCCCCAAAGACAAAUGACCCACAGAUCAUCUUCAAAUCCUCUUCCUUAUUAAAUUUGGUCCUGGAUAUCGUCUUCUCCUUCUCCUUCUCCCCCUUCCCUGUUAUUAUCACCCAACAUUUUCUGAUAAUCUCUGAUUAGAUGACUGCAGGCAGCACCUCUGUUCACCUUGCUGUUUACAAUUUCACCUCUCUAUCCCCAACUGUGUAUGUACUGUAUAUAAUCUGCCUACUGAGAAUAGCACAUUGUGUAACUCAAUCUGUGGGCUCUAGUCCACAGG